UUGGGGUGGACAGCUAGUUGGUCCUCUCCUUCAUCAAUGUUAUGUUGUUACCAAUAUUGGUAAAAAUAUUUAUGCUAUGUGUCUUCAGUUAUCCUCAGGGUACCACAAGAACAGCAACACAAACUUGAAUGUGAGCCCUUACAUAAAUAUUUGAGCAGAAAUUUGGUGAAAAUAACACAGGGUAUGAUAACAGAAAUCUGCUCCAUUGUCAUAAAAAAGAUUUAUAUAUUUAUGUAUAUUUAUAUCCCUUUUACCUGUCAUGUUUGAAAUGCUUUAAUUUCUAACCAUCUUAUGUUGUUGAGUGUUCUUAUAUACUUAUUAACAAAAAGAAAGUUUGUGUUUAAGUCACAACAAGAAGCUCUUGAUCCCUUUCCAGCCGGAUGUACAAGAAACAAGAACUAACACUGAGGCUGAAAGUGUUCUCCGGGACAGUUAAAAACAACUUUAUUUAGCAUUUUUAUUACUGAUUGGAAAUAGUUGCAUAACAAAAUAAUGUUCAGCAGUACAUAUGUUUAUGCAACAGAAAAAAACAAAAAACAAAUACAAAGUGCUCUGCUUCCACAAACCUCUAAUCUUUUCAGUAUAUCUCUUUGUUUAACUGAAAGCUGGACCUUUUUCUUUCCUUCUGGUUAUAUUUAACUCUAAAAGUGUCCAAUGUUAACCAUUUAGUCGAACAAACAAAAGCAGCACAGAUAUAAAAGCAAGACAAAGUUGGACAUCAUGCAUGGCUGCUUACUGUCCUCUAGUGGUCAUUGGGAGGUACUAAACAUCUGAUAAAUUAACAACAGCGGGUUUGUAAGGGGUCAAAGAGCCCCGAUGUCAUCCCACCUCUGAAACUUAGACUUACAUCAGCAAGUUAAACACUGAUUCAAUUGUUUUAACUUUUAAAUCAUUGUUUAUUGAUUUUAAAAUGAUUAUUCCUCCUCACCUUUGAGCUGCACCCAUGGUCAGCUCUUAAAAAUCACAUUAAACUUGUCACAUUUUGUAAAAUGAUCCAAAGUAGCUUCACAAUUAACUUUAACUGGAAAUUUCCUCUGAUACUGGAGUGAAGGACUGCAUGACUCAGCUCCUCUGAGCUUUUCUGUUUAGUCACUGUACAAGUCUGUGACACACUUCUUUCCAUUUAUCAGCCCUCUAGCUCCUCCUCUGCUUAUUUCACCUGUGGCCUACAGUUGGAGACUUUUGCCCGACUUCAGAGGAAUUAUAUAAUUACUUUGGCCUGUUGCAAUAGUGUUCUUAUUGUAGCAAAGUGCUGAUAGCAUGUCACAGAUAAAUAUCAAAUCGUUGCAAUAUGGC